rnacentral:tmRNA from 1 species
GGGGGCGAAAUAGGUCUCGACAGGGGACAGGAAUGAGAAAAGCUGCCGUCCGAGGCGCCGGGGGCUCGUAAAAUCCGGCAAACGAAAUAGCUGCCACAACAGCAAACUAUAUGGCUGCAUAAGAAAUGCGGCCACCUGACAGGUUCCCUGCUCCUGGGUUCCUGAACCAGGUCAUAGAGGAGCUCGUUUCAGGUUUUGUGGUCCCUGAAGCCUGAAAUAAGAAAAAAAGGGACAGGUACUAUGGAAUCCGGUUUCGGGGAGUCCAUAGGUACCCCAAAAAACCGAAACUAUGUCGGUAGAUGCUUUUCUAUUUCUCCUCUGGACGCGGGGGCAGUACCCGCCGCCUCCACUU